CCGCAACGGAGGGGGAGUACGAUGAGGUUCUGGGGCAGCUCUCCUCUCUCACGCAGAAGGUGCGGACACACACCGGCAACCCAGGCAACCAGUGGGACCUCAUGGACCGCUACCUCCAGAUUCUCGAGCUGGAGGAGGCCAUCGCAUGGAUGAUGGUCAUCCAUGUCACCGGGACCAAAGGGAAGGUGAAUCACAAGAUAACAUUUGGUGCCAAGGAUUCGGGAAGGUGAACUAAUACCAAGAACCAUGUCGCCGGAUGAUUCCGGAAGAGAUGGUCCUGAUAGUCGAGGUA